GGAUGUAUCAACAAGUUGCAACCAACCAUCAACAAGACGAGAAGAAUAUAACCAUAUACAGGAUCUUUAUAUGACAUAACAUAGAUCAACAAUGUAUGCUAGAAAAACCAAUUUGUAUGACUUAAGCAGAAGACAAAAGAAAGCAACAAAGAGCAAAUUAAAGCACAUGCAUCAGGACCACAAACAAACCACAAUGAGCUUAUUAGUCAUAAAUGUUUUAGACAUAUAAACCACAGUAAUAACAGGAUUAUGCAAUUUCAAUAAGAUAUAUUUCAUGAAAGUGCUUCUGUAGUUUGCUGACAUAAUAGGCGUACAACCAAACUUGCCAAAUAUAAUGGGAAACCAUAGCUUUAUUCUAUAGGUAGGUUGGAAGCAUUACAAAGCAAGUACAAUUGCAAAAGCAAGAUUAUAAAGCAAGAUGGAUCCAUAAGCAGAUUUUUCUGGCUGUUGAAAUCUAAAUGAUGAAAAAGGUUAGAAGGAAGAAAAGUGAGGAAGUUUAUUUAAAAAAAAAAAAAAGACCAGAGGAGAAACAGUUUUUUGGAUAAUUAGAUGAAGUUGAAUGAGGCAUGAUUACUGAUAUUGAACAAGGUAGGCAAAAAUAGAACUAAAGACAAUUGUAAAGGUAAAGGGAGCCAAGGCUGGGAAAUAGUUAAGGAGCACUAAACACCUUCAUGAACUUGAACUUGACAUUACACCAAGCCCACUGUCAAGGCCUUGAUAGCAUCACACCAUCAAGAAGGAUAUCAAGAGAAGAAGCUUGUGCUCGUUAGGAACUGAAAUAAUCUCUUCUCGAAUCAAAUCCAACAAAGUUCUGACAGUAAAUUUCCUGAUAAAAUUCACAUUUUUUUGGGUCCCUAUUACUACCAACUCCCAAACCGGCUCUAAUACAACUCUGGCUUAGAUUGAAUCUACAUCCUUUGGAUGAAAUACUUUGUGGCCUUGGGAUAUUGUACCAUAGAUUUUUUUAUUUCAAUUUAGCUGUUGGUAAUGAUGGAUAUGUAGAUGCACAUCAAAGACUUGCAUUGGAAUAUUAGAAUCUUUAUUUAUGAUAUUUCCAUGUAAAAAGCAUGCAUAUAAGUUUUAGAAUAUUUAUACUUUCCCACAAUGGUGAUUCUGGAGUUAUCCUCUUGGAAGAGAUUGAGGGCCGCGAAUGCACACAACCCUUCGAGAAGCCGCUUCAAUCCACUUGCUCUAUCUUCCAAGGCCAAGGCCUUCAACAACUGCAGGCUAAGGGGAAGCUCUGCAACAAGACCUUGUUCUAUUGCUUAAGAACAAACCUCCUUCUCUCUUCCUCUCUUUUCUUGGAGAAGAAGCUCUCUGUCGUUACACUCUCUCUUUAUUUUUCCUCACACCAAGUUUUCUCCUAGGCGCCACCACCCACAACCCUAGGGUGCCUCAUCUAGGAUUAUAUAGAGGGAGGUGCCAGGGUUUCUCCUCAACUCAGGCCCCUUAGAGUAUGCAUUGGACUCAAAUAGGAGAAAAGAGGGAGCAGCCUUGGGUGCCUCCUCCCAUAUGAUGUCGCACUCCCAUAGGGAGUGCACCAUCAUAAAGCACAUUAGAGAGGGAAAAGGAGGGGCAGCCCCACAUGGGUGGCCGCCCGCUACUUGAACCCAUCCAAGUUGCCCCAGGUCAAGGCUCAAUCUAGUCCUUCUUGACCUGACUUAGCCUAAACCCAUAGUUAGACAAUUUGUUCAGCCAGAUUAGAGCUCAAAUAAUCCUCCAAUCAAAUCCAAACCUUUCUUGAUUCAAUUAAAGAUUAUUUACAGAGAGAAUAACUAAUUAGAAUCUUAUUCCAAUUAACCUUAAGAUAGAUGGCACAUGCUAGACGUGUUACAAUGGUAAUAGAAAUUAGGUUCCUGCUCACCAAUAACCUACCUCUAUAGGAUAGUCACACUGUAGCAGCUUGAUCUAGCAUAAGGAUAGGGAGCCCAUACUGCAUUACCAGGCUCCUGGUGAGUUAAGAUGAAACUAGUUGGUCUCCUUGUCCCUGCACAAGCUUUAUGUUGCAAUUCAACUCCUUAUCAUUUUAGUGUCCUUGUAUGACCAUUGAAAGCUCAUACAUUGUCAAAACUUAGUCAUACUAUAUCAAGGCCCAUUAGAACUACGGAUCAUGUAUGUGUGUGUGUGUGUAUAUAUAUAUAUAUAUAUAUAUAUAUACCACUGAGUAAAAUCUUUUCGCACCAAACCUUUCAAAAAUACUUAACUUUACUUAUAAUAAUUAUUUUGUCAAAACAAUUAUUUUCAAAACUUAAGUAACUGUUUGGAUCCUAGGUCUUACAUAUUUGACCAUAUCUCUAUUCUAAUAUGGAUACUAUGCUAUAUGAUAAUUUGGACAUUGUGCCAUAUGAUAAUAUGGACACUAGGCCAUAUAAUGGUAUCUAUGUAGGAUAGCUAAACCCUCUCUCACAUCCAACUCCAGUAAAUCAUUGUGCUCUCUAUCAAGGACAUAGUCCAAGACAUCACUGUCGAUACAUGAGUUUAGCCGCAAAUUUACUAACAACCAGAAUUCAGUAAAUUGUCCUACUCUUCUGGUCAAAGGACCACUUGCAAGCUAUAUAGUCUAGUUCACACCUCAACUCUUGACAAUGAUUUUCAAGAAUAGUCAACAUGAUAGCACACCCAAGUAUCAGCGUCAGGUCACCACCUUGGUGGAGGAGGAACUCUAUGUAGUCACCGUACACCUCAACAACCUUAUAUGUACGAUGUCCAACCUCAUAUAUAACUAUGAACAUCCAAGUACUUAGGAAGCACCAAUCCUUCCUAUAGUAAAUACAUUGACCUAAGGUCUAUCAUACCAACCCAUAUUGAUCGUAUCGUACCGUACCAUUAAGAUACCCAAGGUUCGCCAUUUCGGUACCAGACCCCGUACGGGUAGCAUCCUAUUAUGGUAUCGGUACAUCCGGUAUGCAGGUCAAUUCAGCAUAUCAAGUAUUGAUACACCCUCCGUAUUGCAUACCGAUUUGGUAUUGAUACAAUACGGUCAAUACGCAUCAGUAUCAAUCGAUACGGCAAACCUUGAAGGUACUAGUACGGUAUAAUACAGUACGAUACUAGUCCAUACGAGCCUAAAUCGAGCAAAAUUAUCAUAUACUGCUAUUGAUGUCAAUGGAAACAAAUACCCAAAUAUUUUACCCGUCGCCAAACUAAACAGAGCUAUUUUAACCGAAAUUAAUUAAGGAUGGUUUCAACGAUGGUUUUAAAAAUAAAAAAUCAUUGAAUUUCGGUUUUGGUUUCGGUUCCGAUUUUGGUGAAUUUUCCAACCCAAAUCCGACUCGACACCAAACCCAAAACCAGACAUACCUGAUAAUUAAUGCCCUUGUUACCUUUUGUAUUUAGUGUAAAUCCAAGUUAGGAACUCUAUGAAAUAGUAGUGAAGAUGACUUUUAGGUCAAUAAGAUAAUCUAUAGAACAUUUUUUGGUAUUAAUAAAAUUGCAGUCUUUGAAUAAAUGGUUCUCAAUUAUAUUAUAAAUUAUCUUAUUAGAUGAGCCUGUUUUUCUUGUAUUUUUUUUCUUCUUUGAGGCAUAAUAUAUUCGUGGAUUAGUGAAGGCAAAAUGAAGGAUUGGAUUGUUCACCAAAAAUUUUUCGCAUUGAAAAAUUUAUCAUUAUAUUUUCUUUAUGUAGUUGGACUUGUUUUUAACUUAGACUAUUAUGUUUGUUGGAUGGUUGUAUUAUUAUUUUUGGAUUAUUGAGUUUGUUUGAUGGUGGUAUUAUUAGUUUUGGAUAUAUUUAUUACUUGAGUUGGUAAUAAAUUAUAUUAUGAAAAUUAUGGACGAUGCCUUUAAUUUGGUUAUUUAUAUGUGAAAAUUUUGAAAUGACUACAAAAACUAAAAGAUGUUUUGUUUUUCGAUUUUAGUUUUGAUAUUGCCAUUUUUUGUGGUGGUUAUGAUAUUUUACUUCAAAAAUUGUCUGGCUUUGGUUCGGUUUCGAGGAGCAAUGGUGGAUUUUGGAUUCAGUUCGGUUUUUUUCACUAAUCGCAUUAAAUUUGCGUUGUUGACAUCCCUACAUACUACUUGGUACCGCUCCAAAUUAAGAUGAAUACCAUACAGUACCAACCCAUUUUGCAUGAUUUCAAGCAGUGUCAUGACAAAAGUGAGAAAAAAGGGUCUGAAACCGUAUGAUACCAACCAUACUGUACCGAACCAGCAACAUACCAGCAUGAUACCUAGUAUCAAGAUUGCGGACCUUUCUCUAACCACUUGGAUAAUUUCCCUGGGGUACUCAUGGACUCUUUUCGGACUCUACAACCGAUGUAUGACACAUAUCCUAUAUUGUUUAAGUGAUCAUGAUAAGUAAAAGUUCAUAUAUUAUUCUAAAAAGGUAAAGCAUGGACCUUUGUUCCCAU